AGAGUUUGAUCCUGGCUCAGGAUGAACGCUAGCGGCAGGCCUAACACAUGCAAGUCGAGGGAGAAGCCCUUUCGGGGGCAGAAACCGGCGCACGGGUGCGUAACGCGUAUGCAACCUACCUUUCACAGGGGGAUAGCCCGAAGAAAUUUGGAUUAAUACCCCAUAAUAUUGUUGGAUGGCAUCAUCUGGCAAUUAAAGCUACGACGGUGAAAGAUGGGCAUGCGUCCUAUUAGCUAGUUGGAGUGGUAACGGCACCCCAAGGCUACGAUAGGUAGGGGUCCUGAGAGGGAGAUCCCCCACACUGGUACUGAGACAGGGACCAGACUCCUACGGGAGGCAGCAGUGAGGAAUAUUGGUCAAUGGUCGGAAGACUGAACCAGCCAUGCCGCGUGCAGGAAGAAUGCCUUAUGGGUUGUAAACUGCUUUUAUAUGGGAAGAAUAAGGUGUACGAGUACAUUGAUGACGGUACCAUAUGAAUAAGCAUCGGCUAACUCCGUGCCAGCAGCCGCGGUAAUACGGAGGAUGCGAGCGUUAUUCGGAAUCAUUGGGUUUAAAGGGUCUGUAGGCGGGCUAUUAAGUCAGGGGUGAAAGGUUUCAGCUUAACUGAGAAAUUGCCUUUGAUACUGGUAGUCUUGAAUAUCUGUGAAGUUCUUGGAAUGUGUAGUGUAGCGGUGAAAUGCUUAGAUAUUACACAGAACACCGAUUGCGAAGGCAGGGGACUAACAGACAAUUGACGCUGAGAGACGAAAGCGUGGGGAGCGAACAGGAUUAGAUACCCUGGUAGUCCACGCUGUAAACG
rnacentral:rRNA from 1 species